UCACGAGGGUGUGGAUGUGGGUUUACAGAAUAGAGAAUAAUGGGGGGAAAUUUAAAGAAUAGAGAAAAAUGGACCAAUAACAAAGAAUAGAGAAAAAUGAGGUGUUUAAAUAUAAAGAUUAGAGAAUAAUUGGCAAAAAGUAUAAAGAAUACAUAUAGGAAUUAACGACCCCCUCCUCCGCAAUCCAGACAACCCUUCAUAAAAUAGUUGGCACUGUCACAG
rnacentral:lncRNA from 1 species